rnacentral:misc_RNA from 1 species
ACACCUCAACUCUCAUGGUUCGCCAUGAUGAGCUUGGACUUUGGGGGUCUUGUUGGCCUGUGAGCCAGCUCCUCUUAAAUGAAUUAGCUUGCCGGUGUUUGGUGGCGUCACAGGUGUGAUAACUAUCUACGCUUGUGCUUUCCCACCAGGUAACCUUCAGCAAUGGAGGUUUGCCGGAGCUUAUAAAUGUCUCUCCUUGGCGAGGACACAUUUUGACC